rnacentral:rRNA from 1 species
GACGAACGCUGGCGGCGUGCCUAAUACAUGCAAGUCGAGCGAAGUUUUUCUGGUGCUUGCACCGGAAAAACUUAGCGGCGAACGGGUGAGUAACACGUAAAGAACCUGCCUCAUAGACUGGGACAACUAUUGGAAACGAUAGCUAAUACCGGAUAAUAGCAUUAACUGCAUGGUUGAUGUUUAAAAGUUGGUUUUGCUAACACUAUGAGAUGGCUUUGCGGUGCAUUAGCUAGUUGGUGGGGUAAAGGCCUACCAAGGCGACGAUGCAUAGCCGACCUGAGAGGGUGAUCGGCCACACUGGGACUGAGACACGGCCCAGACUCCUACGGGAGGCAGCAGUAGGGAAUCUUCCGCAAUGGGCGAAAGCCUGACGGAGCAACGCCGCGUGAGUGAAGAAGGAUUUCGGUUCGUAAAGCUCUGUUGUUAGGGAAGAAUGAUUGUGUAGUAACUAGCCACAGUAGAGACGGUACCUAACCAGAAAGCCACGGCUAACUACGUG